CCUAACACAUGCAAGUCGAACGGUAACAGGAAGCAGCUUGCUGCUUCGCUGACGAGUGGCGGACGGGUGAGUAAUGUCUGGGAAGCUGCCUGAUGGAGGGGGAUAACUACUGGAAACGGUAGCUAAUACCGCAUAAUGUCGCAAGACCAAAGAGGGGGACCUUCGGGCCUCUUGCCAUCGGAUGUGCCCAGAUGGGAUUAGCUUGUUGGUGGGGUAACGGCUCACCAAGGCGACGAUCCCUAGCUGGUCUGAGAGGAUGACCAGCCACACUGGAACUGAGACACGGUCCAGACUCCUACGGGAGGCAGCAGUGGGGAAUAUUGCACAAUGGGCGCAAGCCUGAUGCAGCCAUGCCGCGUGUAUGAAGAAGGCCUUCG
rnacentral:rRNA from 1 species